rnacentral:rRNA from 1 species
GCGGAGGAGGGGGAGGGGUCGGGGGUAAGAGGGAGGGGGGAGGGUUUGUCCGGAUUUAGUGGGCGGAAAGAGCGGUUAGGCGGCCUGGAAGGGCAGCUGUGAAAACUAGAGGCUCAAGCGCGAGACGUCGGUUGAAACCACCUGGCUAGAGUCCGGAAGAGGAGUGUGGAAUUCCCGGUGUAGCGGUGAAAUGCGCAGAUAUCGGGAAGAACACCCGUGGCGAAGGCGGCACUCUGGGACGGUACUGACGCUGAGACGCGAAAGCGUGGGGAGCGAACAGGAUUAGAUACCCCAGUAGUC